AAUCCAUAGGUUAAUGAGGCGAACCGGGGGAACUGAAACAUCUAAGUACCCCGAGGAAAAGAAAUCAACCGAGAUUCCCCCAGUAGCGGCGAGCGAACGGGGAGGAGCCCAGAGCCUGAAUCAGCAUGUGUGUUAGUGGAAGCGUCUGGAAAGGCGCGCGAUACAGGGUGACAGCCCCGUACACAAAAGCGCAUGUGCUGUGAGCUCGAUGAGUAGGGCGGGACACGUGGUAUCCUGUCUGAAUAUGGGGGGACCAUCCUCCAAGGCUAAAUACUCCUGACUGACCGAUAGUGAACCAGUACCGUGAGGGAAAGGCGAAAAGAACCCCGGCGAGGGGAGUGAAAAAGAACCUGAAACCGUGUACGUACAAGCAGUGGGAGCACCCUUUGGGUGUGACUGCGUACCUUUUGUAUAAUGGGUC
rnacentral:rRNA from 4 species